rnacentral:pre_miRNA from 1 species
CAUUUUGGGCCUGAUCCAAAGGUUACUGAAGUCAAUGGGAGUCUUUCCAUGACUUCAAUGGACUUUGUAUCAGGUCCCUACAUG